rnacentral:rRNA from 1 species
CGCCUCUUGACAAACGAUAAGAGGUCCUGCCUGCCCAGUGAUAAAUUCAACGGCCGCGGUACCCUAACCGUGCAAAGGUAGCAUAAUCACUUGUUCCUUAAAUAGGGACUCGUAUCAACGGCAUCACGAGGGUUACACUGUCUCCCCCCCUCCAAUCAGUGAAACUGAUCUCCCCAUGAAAAAGUGGGGAUAACACUAUAAGACGAGAAGACCCCAUGGAGCUUUAAACCCAAUAGCAAUUUAGCAAAGCUACAAAACUAUGCUAGCGGCUUUAGGUUGGGGCGACCACGGAGUAAAAAUUAACCUCCAUAACGAAAAGAUUUCAAUCUUUACCCAAGAACCACUAUUCUAAGAAUUAGGAAACUAACGGACUAUGACCCGAUAUCGAUCAAUGAACCAAGUUACCCUGGGGAUAACAGCGCAAUCUACUUCAAGAGUCCAUAUCGACAAGUAGGCUUACGACCUCGAUGUUGGAUCAGGGUAUCCCAGUGGUGCAGCCGCUACUGAAGGUUCGUUUGUUCAACGAUUAAAACCCU